rnacentral:misc_RNA from 1 species
UCAAAUUAUUCACGCCUUUGGGCAUUCCAUCUGCUUUGUUGAAUAUGGCAGCACUCUCAGCUGUUUUUGACUUUUCGGCUUUUCUGUAUUUGGUUUGUUUACGCGACGCCGUCGACGGUUGUCUAUAUUUGGUUUGUUUUUAUGCAAAAUUGUACAAUUCUUGCUUUCGUCGCAUUUUCUCAAUACACACUGCCGUUUGUAUUAUAAAAGCUGAAUGCUUUUCUUUUAUCAAGAGAAUAUUCUUGGUUUAAAUAUAUUUAAAUUGUAUGCAGCUAAAAGUGAAUUGUAGUGACAAAGUACAAAAAAUGUUCGGAGUUAGUAUUUCAAUGCGAAAUAGAGCAACGCGAAGUUGUAAAGAUUAGCAUAAUAAAAAAAAAAAUUAAAAUAAAAAAAUAAAAUAUCUAAUUCUAGUUCUAAAACGAAAGUAUUUGGUGAAAAUUCUUAUUCAAGCAGGACGUGCACACAAGCAGCCAAAAACUUGAUAAACAACAUCCACAUUUGUAUUUAAAUCCAUUGGUAUCAGUGUGUAUUGUAUUUUUAAAAAUUUAGAUAUACCAAUACUUUUUAACACUGAUUGUAAAAUUUUAUCAAGUGAAUAGUAAAAGGUACUAAGGUCAAGCAGGCGGCAACAACCUUAUGCACAGAUUAACGUAUCACCCAGCACCAAUAAUCUAAUUAAUGGCGAAAUUUGUGACCGCUGUGUCAUUGCUUUCGCUGCUGAGUGCUUUGCCGCAUUUAGUAAAGGGUGUAAAUGUAUUAGCCGUACUACCAAGCGUUUGGAAGUCACAUUACCUGUUCGGUAAACGGUUACUACAACAAAUAGUAGACAUACAACCCAACUAUUCGGUGACUUUAAUUAGUCCACAUGCUCAGGAGUAUCCAGUGCAACAAAAAAUAAGGGAAAUACAUAUUGAUGAAUUGUGUGAAAAUUGGGAGGAUAUGGGUUUGCCAUUUGAUAUAGAACAAUCAAGCCAACAAACCGUUAUGGAACACUUUACGAAACUAAUGUAUGCUGGUUCAUCAAAUGUGGAUUUGUUAUUAGGCGAUGCGAAAGUGCGAAAAUUAGUACGUAGUGGCGAAAAAUUUGACCUGUUAGUGGUUGAUCUCUUUCUCAGUGACUCGCUGCUGGGCUUGGCACAUUUCUAUCAAAUACCUACUGUUGUAGUCAGCCCAAAUGGGGCAAAUACUUGGCUGAAUCAUAUGACAGGUAAUCCACAAAGUUCAGCACUUGAUCCCAGCAUGUUUCUACCCUAUUCGGAGCGCAUGGGUAUUUGGCAACGAAGCAUAAACACGCUAAUGGGUUUGUUUGAGAAGUUGACUUACAACUUUUUCUACCUUAUCUCACAAGAAGCCGUCUAUACAAAACACUUUCACGCGCUAUGCCAGCUUGCCAACACAACGUUACCACAUCACAGAGAUUUGACAAAAAAUCUAAGUCUUGUCUUAAUCAAUUCACAUCCUGUUUUACAAUACCCGCGCGCUUACUUGCCAAACAUGCUGGAGAUUGCUGGCGCUCACUUGCAUGAUCAACAGAAACAAAAUGAACUGCCAGCGCAUAUUGCCUAUUUUAUUGAGUCGGCACCAAAAGGAGUUGUGUACCUAAGUUUCGGCGCAGAUGCGCGCACAGCGGAUUUGGCAAAGGAAAAGUUAGAUAUCAUUUUGGAUAUCAUCCUGGAUAUGCAGGACUAUAACUUCAUUAUAAAAUGGGAAGAUCAAAAGUUUUAUACUGCGCUACCCAAAAAUGUAAUGAUUUCGGAUUGGUUGCCACAGGAAGCCAUUUUAGCACAUUCCAACGUUAAGUUGUUCAUAAGCGCCUGUGGACUUAUGAGUAUUAUUGAAUCCAUAAAUGGUCUCACACCAAUACUUGCCAUACCCAUUUACCCCGAACAAGAAGUAAGCGCUAGACGUUUGCAACAGCAAGGCAUUGCUCUCAUGAUCUCCUUCGAUGCAAUAACCUACGAUGCACUUUCGUCGAAUAUACAAAAAUUGGUUACGCAUCCCAACUACGUCCGGCAAGUUGCCGAAAUGCGUCGCUUGCUGAACUCUACCUACGGUUCACCGAUAGCAAGGAGUGUGCAUUAUAUUGAAUUGAUUUUAAAUAGUGCCGGCGGUGGUGAUUUCCUCAAAUCGCAUGCAAAUGAGCUGAAUUUCAUGCGCGCCGAAUUGGUGGAUGUAAUAGCCAUAAUUGUUAUGGGUUUAUUUGUGAUUAUAGCUGUGCCAUUUAUCGUUACCUGUUGUAUACUGCGACGUUCGUAUAUAAACCAAACAGCUUUACAAGCGCAAACAACUGGGGCGCAUCGUGCAACUUUAAAAGUGUUUGGCCGCACUAAUUCGAAUAGUGGCGUUGCUGCGGCAAAUGACUCGCCAGUUUUGGAUUGGCACAGACGCAGUAGUGCCAUACAGGCUGCUGGUGUCUCGAAACCACCAUCGUCACCAUCGGCGUCAUCAACUGCAUCGAGCAUCUCAACAGCAUCUUCAGUAGGGAGCUCACCGCAGAUGCGAAGAAGCGAUGCGCAUUUGGUGGAUGGCAGCUGUGGGGAUGGUGCAACGAAACGUGAAAAAUUUGCACGCCAAGCGGCUAUGAAGUCCGUAUCUCAGAAGAAUGAUUAAAGUUUGCAUUUUUAUUAUGAAGGAAAUUAUAAAGUUCAUAAACGUAUAUACGCUGUAGGCAUAGGUUUAAGGUACUUAAACAUUAUAUGCGAAAGUAAAGGUUGCUUUUCUUUUAAUGGUUGAGAUUUAUCGCAUUUUAUUGCUCACUUGUGUAAAGUUGUAUUCUCUUUUCUUUUGUUGAAAGCUUACUUAAUGUAGACAUACAUACAUACAAA